UAGUCCGCCCAUAUGCAUUUGGA
rnacentral:siRNA from 1 species